UCCGCGCGGCGGGUUUACCCCUCGCCAAGGAAGGAGCAGCCGGGCGCGGCGAGCGCCCUGCGGCGGCAGCGGCGAGCGCCCAGCCCCUUGUGGGCGCAGCCCCGCGGCGGGCAGGGGCGGGGGGAAACUGCCGCCAACGGCUCUCUGGCAUUAACGGCUCCUGCGCGAUGCUCGCCUACCUUGGCGGAGGUUAACUGGAGAGAAGAGCCUAUAUACCGCCGUCUCCUCCCCACAGCGAGGUCUGAGGGCGGGCUGAGCCGAGCCCCUCACCGUGAGCGAGGUGGAGCAGAGGUGCCUGCCGCCGCCACUCGCCUGGGGCUGGGAAGAGCGAGGUUGGCUUCUCAUCUCCGGAGGCCUCGGAACCGCCUCCACUCGUGGCUGUGAACACUUGGCGCGGUUGUGCCCUUCAGUAGUGAGGACACAGGUAACAUCCCAGACACAGCUGCCAUCCUGGGAUCGCAAGUGGGGAGCUAGGCAUACAGCUACAGAAGAAAGUGGUCCUUAAUUCCAGGAACAGUAUUUUGUACGCUAGAUGUUAGAUGUGCUUUAUCCUUUUGUGUAAGUGGACCUAAGCCCUUAUGGAGAACCUGUCAUUUCCAUCUACCCAUGUCUGAAAAAUCCACGAUUCCAAGUCUCCUUACUGGAAAAAUACUGCCAAACUGCUAAUUUCCACUUCUUAUAAAGGCCUAUUCUGCUAAGACUCAAGUAGUGACAGUGGCUUCCACAUGGAAUAUUCCAGCCUCUUUAGGGCUGCUGUAUGGCUCUUCAUUGAGACUUUAGCCUUCUCUUUUGAAGUCCAAAUGUCUGGAUUCUUUGAUGAGGAGGAGUCGCUGGAAGUGGAGGUGCAUGAUUUGCUCCCUUUAUUGUUACCUUAGCCGCAUGCAGGCGGCUGGAGUACAGUACUAAGGAAACUCACAAGAUGCAUCCUGAUACUGUGAACUAUAGAUCCUAGCAGUAUACGUGAUUGUGGGCCUGAAAGAGAUAUCCAGGCUGAACUGACUUUGGCUCAUCCAGUUUUCUCAAAGGAAAUAGUUUGAUGAAUUGAUGGAAGAAAUCAAAGCUGAUCCCCAGGCAAAGUUGUUCAUGCCAAGCCCUACUCAGAGGAGCGCAUUUGGAAAGUUUCUGCAGCAGCAAGUCUUUAAGAGAAGGAAAAGGAAUUUAGAAUCAGAGAUGGUCAUAGAGAGGAAGAGGGCAUCUUGCUGGUUGCUUAAGGAAGCCUGAAAAAACAGUGACCUCCACUUCCUGGUUUGUGACAUUCACUUUCUACUGUUUCCACUUCCUGAUCUUCUGGGAAAUCUUAGAAUAUGCAUACCUUGAAAUGUCAUGGCAAUCAGGAGAGAUACCUGAGAACUGGAAGAAGGCAAAUGUCACUCUGGUCUUCAAGAAGGGCAAGAAAGAGGACCCAGGGAGCUACAGGCCAGUCAGCCUCACCUUGAUCCCUGGAAAGGUGAUGGAGCAGCUCAUCCUGGAUGUCAUCUCUAAGCAUGUGGAGGAAAAGGUGAUCAGGAGUAGUCAGCAUGGAUUCACAAAGGGGAAAGCAUGCUUAACCAAUCUGAUAGCCUUCUCUGAUGGAAUGACUGCCUGGGUAGAUGAGGGGAGAGCAGUGGAUGUUGUCUACCUUGACUUCAGUAAGGCUUCUGACUCUCUGAUAACAUCCUCAUAGGCAAGCUCAGGAAGUGUGGGUUAGAUGAGCAGACAGGUGUUGAAAACUGGCUGAAUGGAAGAGCUCAAAGAGUUGUGUUUAGCGAUGCAAGGUCUAGUUGGAGGCUUGUAGCUAGCAGUGUCCCUCGGGGUCAGUACUGGGUCCAAUCCUGUUCAACGUAUUCAUCAGUGACCUAGAUGAAGGGAAAGAGUGCACUGUCAGCAAGUUUGCUGAUGAUCCAAAACUGCGAGAACUGGCUGGUACCCCAGAGGGCUGUGCUGCCAUUCAGAGGGACCUCAACAGGCUGGAGAGUUGGGCAGAGAGGAACCUCCUGAAGCUCAAUAAAGGGCAGUGCAGAGUCCUGCUCCUGGGGAAGCAUAACCUCCUGCACCAGUGCAGGCUGGGGGCUGACCUGCUGGAAAGCAGCUCUGUGGAGAAGGAGCUGGGAGUCCUGGUGGACAACAAGUUGAGCAUGAGCCAGCAAUGUGCCCUUGUGGCAGAGAAGGCUAAAGGUAUCCUGGGCUGCAUUAGGAAGGGCAUUGCCAGCAGGUUCAGGGAUGUGAUCCUUCCCCUCUACUCAGCCCUGAAGAGGCCACACCUGGAGCAGUUGUCCAAUUCUGGGCUCCCCAAUACAAGAGACACGGAGCUCCUGGAGCAAGUCUGUUGAAGGGCCACUGAGAGGAUGAAGGGACUGGAACAUGUCUCAUAUGAGGAAAGGCUGAGAGCUGGGCCUGUUCCGCCUGGAGAAGAGAAGACUCAGGGGCAUCUUAACCGUGUGUAUAAAUGUCUGAAGGGAGGUUGUAAAGGGGACUGGGCCAGACUUUUUUCAGCGGUGCCCAGUGAGAGGACAAGAAGCCACGGGCACAAACUGAGACACAGGAAGUUCCACUUGAGCACAAGAGAACAGCUCUUUACUGAGGGCAACAGAGCACUGGAACAGGUUGCCCAGAGAGGUUGUGGAGUCUCCAUCCUUGGAGAUAUUCAAAAACCAUCUGGACAGGGUCCAGGGCAACAUACUGUAGGUGACCUUGCUUGAUCAAAGGGGUUGGACUAGAUGAUCUCCAGAGGUCCCUUCCAACCUCAACCUUUCUGUGAUUCUUAGUAAUGCUUAUUUCCAGGGAAAUAUUUCAUUUACUUUUUUUUUUCAUUUAUCAACUUUAAUCUAUUUACAUAUUCCCUGAAUAUGUAAGUAUAGAAGAUAGAAAAAUAGAGUAGGAAGCUGAUCUGGAAAUAUUCAGAUGCUAGUAUUCAGCAAUUUUUCACAUAGCAAGUACCACUGCAGAGACUGCUUUUUUUCCCCUCUUCCUCCUUGUAUUACUUAGCUGACUUCUGCUUGGUUUGCUAUCUGGAGCAGAGGCAGCAUGUAGCAGUGCUGGUCUGGAGCUAUGUGUACAGUGAUUGUCUGGCCAGAAGACCUUGCACUUUGCUCAGCUGUCCAGUUGUUGCCUUUUAGUUAGCUGAACACAAUUGCUUUUGGGUAGGAAUUGAAUUAAGUAAUGGGUUAGAAGUUAUGGAUGUUAUGUUGUCAUGCAGAACAAAUGGUCAUAUUUUUCAAAGCAAUUGAAGCAGCAAUGUGGAUCCUCCUUUAAGAUUUCAAGGUGUUUUUUACUGGUGUUCUGAGAUAUAUGGAAGGGUUUUUUUUUUCCAUUUAUUUUCUGGAGGAAAUGUGAAAUUUUCUUUAAAUGCAACUUGUUCGUAGUGAAUAAAAUGUUAGGGCAGCAUUUCUUUCAAUCUCCUCCAGUGCAUUUCUGGACAAAGUAAGGGAGUGGAGAGGAGAUUGGCAUUUGUGUCAUAUAGCCUAUAAGUCCAUAUAGAGAAUUUAAGUAGCUAAGUUAUACAUCUAGAGCAGGUUCAGUUGCCUAAGAAAAGGCUUCAGCUGCCAUACUCAAUGUCCCAAGCUAACACAUCUACUCAAGGCAAGCUGAUAUGACCCAAAAAGCAUGGAAGAGCUACAUCUUGCUGCAAUGACAGUUGACAUAGCCUAGAGUGUCUAAAAUGACACUAAAAAUUGUGCUUAGACAACUGAACCCCAUUCCUGAAGUCAAGUGAUAGGAAUGCUUGUGUAAAUGUAUGAUAUAUACCUUUCUGGAGAUUGUAGAGAUAUCAUCUGUCCUUUUUGUGAUUGCAGUGGAUAUUUAUCGGUUUUGUUUUUAGCUAAUUUUUAUUUCAUUCAUAGGCACUUUCUUUUGGAGGAGGGGGAAAAACAUCUAAAAUGAACAGAAUUACGUUGUUCUUCUAUAUGGUUGAUCAAUAAUGUAAAUUGCUGUUCAUGGCAACAAGAUAUCAACCUAUAAUACUGAUGUUUUCAAAUUUACUUCUCUGUAUAUUGUCUACCUUGGCUUUUUCAAUUUCAUUUUAGUAAUUGUAUUUAAAAUUCUCUGCUUUGAUCCCUCUUGGACAGGUGUGGCUGGUCCAAAUCAGGCCUGCAUGAAGUAGCUUUGGAUUUUUUUUUUGUUCUCUUAAGAGAGCUAGAAAGCUUCCACUGAUGAUGAACUUGAAUUAAUAUUUCUGUCCAAAGCAAUAGGCCUGUCCUUUGGGGAGAGCAAACCUACUGAUAGGAAAGUGAAAUUUAUCUUACUUGUCUUUAGACUGGCGCUGUUUAAAGUUACCCUUUGCAGGGAAGAGAUUCUAAUGUUGAAUGCAGAUACUCAUGGCACCCCUUUUGAGGCAUGUGCACAAAAAGAGAGCAGGAAAAAACAAGGAAAAGCUGAGAUAAGGAAAUACCUAUAAUGUUUUAAUUCGUUUUUUUAUUUUGUAGUGCUAGUAAGAACUAAGUUGUGGUGGAAUAUGUAAGAUAAUACCUACCUGUAAUUUAGCAGUUUGUCUGCUAGUAUAUGAGUAGAUAUUUUGGCUUAUGAGAACAACGUAUGUGGGUUUUUUCCCACUGGUGAAGCCAUUAAAUCUAUGCCAUUUGAAUGUAUUUGUGAGCGGAUUUCAUGCAAUUGUCAGAAUUGUUGCUUGAUUCAGCAAUGUCAGUGAUCCUGAGCGAUAAGGCAUAUAUUUCCCAGAAAAGGCGUUUUGUUGUUCUGGAUCGUGGAGAAGUGACAUAAGAAAUUGUAUCUUCAAUAAAUCACGUUGUACAAUGUUGUUGUGGAAACCUCUGUAACUGGAACAUCAGUGCAAAGUCAUUACUUCUGCCAAGGUAUGAAUGUUUUAAUUUCUGUUAGUCUGGUUAACUUGUAUAAUAAACAGAUUAAUUAUAUUGCUAUUUAUUAUAUCUAUAUUGAUAUGAAUAAUAUGAUAUUGCUUUUCAUUUGUUUGUUGUAUAACUACUAAUCUAACCUGAUUAUUUGUCAAGCAUUUUUACAUGGUUCCAGUAUAACUUAUUGCUUUCAGGCAGUUGAAGUUUUCUGGUGUUUGGAUUUUGUUUUUGUGGCAACUGUGUGAUACUACUUAGAUCAAAAUGGGACACAUCCUUGCCAAAAAAUUGUAUCUGUAAAUACACAGAACUAUUCUUUGUAGGGGAUCGUAGCCAUUCAGUUCUUGCAAAUUAUUUUUAUUAGUCUGAGUCUUUUUCUUUCCUGCACUAUACAGGCUUGAAGUUGGGCAUUUCCCACAUUUGUGUAUGUCGUCUUAUUUACUGGUACAUUCCAAAAAGAGUGUGUAUAGAUAAAGAAGACUCACUUAGCUGAUCAAGAAAUCAGGUUGUGGCCAAAAGUCUUUUUACUACUUUUGUUUUUCAAUGCUCUUGUUGUUCUCAUUGCAAUACCUGAGCACUUCUUUUCUGUCAAUGUAUUUAGGGAAAAAUGGGAAGAAUUUGUGUUUUCUUUGACUGCAAUGUUCCGACAGGUAGUUGUUGUCUCUGUUUUGUUUUUCCUGCUUGCUUAGUUUCAAAGGCAUGGGUUUGUCAGUCGCCUAGGUAGAGAUCAGUUUGGUCCCUGAAAGGAACAAGAUAGGCUGUUCUGUAAUAAUGUCUGCUUUUCUUUUUUCUGUGGCUACUUCAUGCAGAAGUGAAAUCAAUCGAACGGAGGAAAUUAAUUACUUUGAGGUAGGUUCUAAAGUUUCUACAAAUUGCAAUACCUCUGUGGCCGUGGAGAAAAUUAGAGUAAGAUAAAGUAAAAUCAGGUAUGUGAACUGCUCAUGUGCUUUCUUUUUUUCCAGUAUCAGGAGCAAUGCAAUCCAGUACAGUUACAAGUCUUAUCUUUGUUUUAAGUCCUAUUGUAGUGCU